AGCUAGUUGGUAAAGUAACGGUCUACCAAGGCGAUGAUCGGUAGCUGGUCUGAGAGGAUGACCAGCCACACUGGGACUGAGAUACGGCCCAGACUCCUACGGGAGGCAGCAGCAAGGAGUAUUGCGCAAUGGGCGAAAGCCUGACGCAGCGACGCCGCGUGGAGGAUGAAGACCUUCGGGUUGUAAACUCCUUUUCUUGGGGAGGAAUAAUGACAGUACCCGAGGAAUAAGCCACGGCAAACUACGUGCCAGCAGCUGCGGUAAAACGUAGGUGGCGAGCGUUAUCCGGAUUUACUGGGCGUAAAGAGGGCGCAGGUGGUUUUUCAAGUCAAAUGUAAAAUCUCUCGGCUUAACUGAGAGAAGCCAUUUGAUACUGUUAAACUAGAGGACAACAGAGGAAGGCGGAAUUCCCGGUGUAGUGGUGAAAUACGUAGAUAUCGGGAGGAACACCAGUGGCGAAGGCGGCCUUCUGGGUUGUUUCUGACGCUUAAGCCCGAAAGCGUGGGGAGCAAACAGGAUCAGAUACCCUGGUAGUCCACGCCGUAAACGAUGGACACUAGGUAUGGGGAGUAUCGACCCUCUCCGUGCCGAAGCUAACGCGUUAAGUGUCCCGUCUGAGGAGUACGGCCGCAAGGCUAAAACUCAAAGGAAUUGACGGGGGCCCGCACAAGCAGCGGAGCGUGUGGUUUAAUUCGAUGCAAAGCGAAGAACCUUACCAAGGCUUGACAUGACGGAAGUAGGAACCUGAAAGGGGGACGACCUGUUAAAUCAGGAGCUGCCACAGGUGCUGCAUGGCUGUCGUCAGCUCGUGCCGUGAGGUGUAUGGUUAAGUCCUGCAACGAGCGCAACCCCUAUUGCCAGUUGUAUUCUCUGGCGAGACUGCCUCGCAUAACGAGGAGGAAGGUGGGGAUGACGUCAAGUCAGCACGGCCUUUAUGCCUUGGGCGACACACACGCCACAAUGGGUGGUACAAUUGGUUGCAAAAGGGCGACCUGGAGCUAAUCCCUAAAACCACCCUCAGUUCAGAUUGUAGGCUGCAACCCGCCUGCAUGAAGCUGGAGUUGCUAGUAACCGCAGGUCAGCAUACUGCGGUGAAUACGUUCUCGGGCCUUGUACACACCGCCCGUCACGUCAUGGAAGUCGGCAACACUCGAAGUCGAUGGGCCAACCCGCAAGGGAGGCAGUCGCCGAAGGUGAGGCUGAUAACUGGGACGAAGUCGUAACAAGGUAGCCGUAGUGGAAGCUGCGGCUG
rnacentral:rRNA from 1 species